GACGAACGCUAGCGGUGUGCUUAACACAUGCAAGUCGAACGGUAAGGCCCUUUCGGGGGUACACGAGUGGCGAACGGGUGAGUAACACGUGAGUAACCUGCCCUCAUCUCUGGGAUAACAGUCGGAAACGGUUGCUAAUACUGGAUAUGAGCUUGCAAGGCAUCUUGUGGGUUGGAAAGAUUUUUUUGGUUGGGGAUGGACUCGCGGCCUAUCAGCUUGUUGGUGAGGUAGUGGCUCACCAAGGCUUCGACGGGUAGCCGGCCUGAGAGGGCGACCGGCCACAUUGGGACUGAGAUACGGCCCAAACUCCUACGGGAGGCAGCAGUGGGGAAUAUUGCACAAUGGACGGAAGUCUGAUGCAGCAACGCCGCGUGCGGGAUGACGGCCUUCGGGUUGUAAACCGCUUUCAAUUGUGACGAAGCUUUUUGUGACGGUAGCAGUAGAAGAAGCACCGGCUAACUACGUG
rnacentral:rRNA from 1 species